GGGUUGUGAGGUUAAGCGACUAAGCGUACACGGUGGAUGCCCUGGCAGUCAGAGGCGAUGAAGGACGUGCUAAUCUGCGAUAAGCGUCGGUAAGGUGAUAUGAACCGUUAUAACCGGCGAUUUCCGAAUGGGGAAACCCAGUGUGUUUCGACACACUAUCAUUAACUGAAUCCAUAGGUUAAUGAGGCGAACCGGGGGAACUGAAACAUCUAAGUACCCCGAGGAAAAGAAAUCAACCGAGAUUCCCCCAGUAGCGGCGAGCGAACGGGGAGCAGCCCAGAGCCUGAAUCAGUGUGUGUGUUAGUGGAAGCGUCUGGAAAGGCGCGCGAUACAGGGUGACAGCCCCGUACACAAAAAUGCACAUAUUGUGAGCUCGAUGAGUAGGGCGGGACACGUGGUAUCCUGUCUGAAUAUGGGGGGACCAUCCUCCAAGGCUAAAUACUCCUGACUGACCGAUAGUGAACCAGUACCGUGAGGGAAAGGCGAAAAGAACCCCGGCGAGGGGAGUGAAAAAGAACCUGAAACCGUGUACGUACAAGCAGUGGGAGCCUCUUUUAUGGGGUGACUGCGUACCUUUUGUAUAAUGGGUCAGCGACUUAUAUUCUGUAGCAAGGUUAACCGAAUAGGGGAGCCGAAGGGAAACCGAGUCUUAACUGGGCGUUAAGUUGCAGGGUAUAGACCCGAAACCCGGUGAUCUAGCCAUGGGCAGGUUGAAGGUUGGGUAACACUAACUGGAGGACCGAACCGACUAAUGUUGAAAAAUUAGCGGAUGACUUGUGGCUGGGGGUGAAAGGCCAAUCAAACCGGGAGAUAGCUGGUUCUCCCCGAAAGCUAUUUAGGUAGCGCCUCGUGAACUCAUCUCCGGGGGUAGAGCACUGUUUCGGCAAGGGGGUCAUCCCGACUUACCAACCCGAUGCAAACUGCGAAUACCGGAGAAUGUUAUCACGGGAGACACACGGCGGGUGCUAACGUCCGUCGUGAAGAGGGAAACAACCCAGACCGCCAGCUAAGGUCCCAAAGUCAUGGUUAAGUGGGAAACGAUGUGGGAAGGCCCAGACAGCCAGGAUGUUGGCUUAGAAGCAGCCAUCAUUUAAAGAAAGCGUAAUAGCUCACUGGUCGAGUCGGCCUGCGCGGAAGAUGUAACGGGGCUAAACCAUGCACCGAAGCUGCGGCAGCGACACUAUGUGUUGUUGGGUAGGGGAGCGUUCUGUAAGCCUGUGAAGGUGUACUGUGAGGUAUGCUGGAGGUAUCAGAAGUGCGAAUGCUGACAUAAGUAACGAUAAAGCGGGUGAAAAGCCCGCUCGCCGGAAGACCAAGGGUUCCUGUCCAACGUUAAUCGGGGCAGGGUGAGUCGACCCCUAAGGCGAGGCCGAAAGGCGUAGUCGAUGGGAAACAGGUUAAUAUUCCUGUACUUGGUGUUACUGCGAAGGGGGGACGGAGAAGGCUAUGUUGGCCGGGCGACGGUUGUCCCGGUUUAAGCGUGUAGGCUGGUUUUCCAGGCAAAUCCGGAAAAUCAAGGCUGAGGCGUGAUGACGAGGCACUACGGUGCUGAAGCAACAAAUGCCCUGCUUCCAGGAAAAGCCUCUAAGCAUCAGGUAACAUCAAAUCGUACCCCAAACCGACACAGGUGGUCAGGUAGAGAAUACCAAGGCGCUUGAGAGAACUCGGGUGAAGGAACUAGGCAAAAUGGUGCCGUAACUUCGGGAGAAGGCACGCUGAUAUGUAGGUGAAGUCCCUCGCGGAUGGAGCUGAAAUCAGUCGAAGAUACCAGCUGGCUGCAACUGUUUAUUAAAAACACAGCACUGUGCAAACACGAAAGUGGACGUAUACGGUGUGACGCCUGCCCGGUGCCGGAAGGUUAAUUGAUGGGGUUAGCGCAAGCGAAGCUCUUGAUCGAAGCCCCGGUAAACGGCGGCCGUAACUAUAACGGUCCUAAGGUAGCGAAAUUCCUUGUCGGGUAAGUUCCGACCUGCACGAAUGGCGUAAUGAUGGCCAGGCUGUCUCCACCCGAGACUCAGUGAAAUUGAACUCGCUGUGAAGAUGCAGUGUACCCGCGGCAAGACGGAAAGACCCCGUGAACCUUUACUAUAGCUUGACACUGAACAUUGAGCCUUGAUGUGUAGGAUAGGUGGGAGGCUUUGAAGUGUGGACGCCAGUCUGCAUGGAGCCGACCUUGAAAUACCACCCUUUAAUGUUUGAUGUUCUAACGUGGACCCGUGAUCCGGGUUGCGGACAGUGUCUGGUGGGUAGUUUGACUGGGGCGGUCUCCUCCUAAAGAGUAACGGAGGAGCACGAAGGUUGGCUAAUCCUGGUCGGACAUCAGGAGGUUAGUGCAAUGGCAUAAGCCAGCUUGACUGCGAGCGUGACGGCGCGAGCAGGUGCGAAAGCAGGUCAUAGUGAUCCGGUGGUUCUGAAUGGAAGGGCCAUCGCUCAACGGAUAAAAGGUACUCCGGGGAUAACAGGCUGAUACCGCCCAAGAGUUCAUAUCGACGGCGGUGUUUGGCACCUCGAUGUCGGCUCAUCACAUCCUGGGGCUGAAGUAGGUCCCAAGGGUAUGGCUGUUCGCCAUUUAAAGUGGUACGCGAGCUGGGUUUAGAACGUCGUGAGACAGUUCGGUCCCUAUCUGCCGUGGGCGCUGGAGAAUUGAGGGGGGCUGCUCCUAGUACGAGAGGACCGGAGUGGACGCAUCACUGGUGUUCGGGUUGUCAUGCCAAUGGCACUGCCCGGUGGCUAAAUGCGGAAGAGAUAAGUGCUGAAAGCAUCUAAGCACGAAACUUGCCCCGAGAUGAGUUCUCCCUGACUCCUUGAGAGUCCUGAAGGAACGUUGAAGACGACGACGUUGAUAGGCCGGGUGUGUAAGCGCAGCGAUGCGUUGAGCUAACCGGUACUAAUGAACCGUGAGGCUUAACCUUACAACGCCGAAGCUGUU
rnacentral:rRNA from 1 species